UCGAGGAUCUUCGGCAAUGGGCGCAAGCCUGACCGAGCGACGCCGCGUGCGCGAAGAAGGCCUUCGGGUUGUAAAGCGCUGUCGAGGGGGAGGAAGCCGCAAGGUUGACCUAUCCCUGGAGGAAGGACGGGCUAAGUUCGUGCCAGCAGCCGCGGUAAGACGAACCGUCCUAACGUUGUUCGGAAUCACUGGGCUUAAAGGGCGCGUAGGCGGGUCACCAAGUCCGGGGUGAAAUCUUUCGGCUUAACCGGAAAAUAGCCUUGGAUACUGGUGGUCUAGAGGGUGGUAGGGGCAUGUGGAACUUCCGGUGGAGCGGUGAAAUGCGUUGAUAUCGGAAGGAACGCCGGUGGCGAAAGCGACGUGCUGGACCACUACUGACGCUGAGGCGCGAAAGCCAGGGGAGCAAACGGGAUUAGAUACCCCCGUAGUCC
rnacentral:rRNA from 1 species